AGAUAAUGAAGGCAACCUAAAAGCGCGACGUCGUGUCGCAACGGUUGCAUGACAGCAUCCUGCUUG
rnacentral:sRNA from 1 species